GGGGGGAGGUGGGGGGGUUCCAGACAUCUGGACAUCCCAGAUUAGCACUCAGACUCCUGAGUUUGUCAAAACCA
rnacentral:miRNA from 10 species